rnacentral:rRNA from 1 species
AAAAAAAAACCAGAAAAGAAAUACG